rnacentral:rRNA from 1 species
AGAGUUUGAUCCUGGCUCAGGAUAAACGCUGGCGGCGUGCCUAACACAUGCAAGUCGAACGCCCUUACUUUCGGGUAAGGGAGUGGCGGACGGGUGAGGAACACGUGGGUACCUACCUUUCGGUGAGGGAUACCGGCGAGAAAUCGCCGACAAUACCGCAUACGCUUCUCUAGGGAAGCAAAGUCGCAAGACGCCGGGAGAUGGGCCUGCGCCCGAUUAGCUAGCUGGUGGGGUAAGAGCUCACCAGGGCAACGAUCGGUAGCUGGUCUGAGAGGACGAUCAGCCACACUGGGAUUGAGAACGGCCCAGACUCCUACGGGGGGCAGCAGUGAGGAAUUUUCGUCAAUGGGGGCAACCCUGAACGAGCAACGCCGCGUGCAGGAAGAAGGUCUUCGGAUCGUAAACUGCUUUUCUGUGGGAAGAGAAGGGACGGUACCACAGGAAGAAGCCCCGGCUAACUACGUGCCAGCAGCCGCGGUAAUACGUAGGGGGCGAGCGUUGUCCGGAGUUACUGGGCGUAAAGCGCACGCAGGCGGUGCGGUAAGUUCCAUGUGACAGUGCCCGGCUUAACUGGGCAAGGCUGUGGAAAACUGCCGGACUUGAGGGCCAGAGAGGGACAUAGAAUUCCGGGUGGAGUGGUGAAAUGCGUAGAUAUCCGGAGGAAUACCAAAGGCGAAGGCAGUGUCCUGGCUGGCAACUGACGCUGAGGUGCGAAAGCUAGGGGAGCGAACAGGAUUAGAUACCCUGGUAGUCCUAGCCGUAAACGAUGACCACUAGAUGUGCGGGGUAUCGACCCCCUGCGUGUCGGAGCAAACGUUUUAAGUGGUCCGCCUGGGGAGUACGGUCGCAAGAUUAAAACUUAAAGGAAUUGACGG